rnacentral:rRNA from 1 species
UACGUAGGGGGCAAGCGUUGUCCGGAUUUAUUGGGCGUAAAGAGCGUGUAGGCGGCUUGGUAGGUCCGCUGUGAAAACUCGAGGCUCAACCUCGAGAUGUCGGCGGAAACCACUUGGCUAGAGUCCGGAAGAGGAGAGUGGAAUUCCUGGUGUAGCGGUGAAAUGCGCAGAUAUCAGGAAGAACACCUAUGGCGAAGGCAGCUCUCUGGGACGGUACUGACGCUGAGACGCAAAAGCGUGGGGAGCGAACAGG